GCUUACACAUGCAAGUCGAACGAGAACGGAUUAUAGCUUGCUAUAAUUGUCAGCUAAGUGGCGCACGGGUGAGUAAUGUAUAGGUAACGUGCCUUGAAGAGGGGGAUAACAGUUGGAAACGACUGCUAACACCCUAUAUGCCUUUAUCACAUAAGUGAGCAAGGGAAAUAUUUAUAGCUUCAAGAUCGGCCUGUAUGGUAUCAGCUUGUUGGUGAGGUAAUGGCUCACCAAGGCUAUGACAUCUAACUGGUUUGAGAGGAUGAUCAGUCACACUGGAACUGAGACACGGUCCAGACUCCUACGGGAGGCAGCAGUGGGGAAUAUUGCACAAUGGGGGAAACCCUGAUGCAGCAACGCCGCGUGGAGGAUGACACAUUUCGGUGCGUAAACUCCUUUUAUAGGUCAAGAUAAUGACGGUAGCCUAUGAAUAAGCGCCGGCUAACUCCGUGCCAGCAGCCGCGGUAAUACGGAGGGCGCAAGCGUUACUCGGAAUCACUGGGCGUAAAGAGCGUGUAGGCGGAUAAAUAAGUUGGGAGUGAAAUCCUAUGGCUCAACCAUAGAACUGCUUCCAAAACUGUUUAUCUAGAAUAUGGGAGAGGUAGAUGGAAUUUCUGGUGUAGGGGUAAAAUCCGUAGAGAUCAGAAGGAAUACCGAUUGCGAAGGCGAUCUACUGGAACAUUAUUGACGCUGAGACGCGAAAGCGUGGGGAGCAAACAGGAUUAGAUACCCUGGUAGUCCACGCCCUAAACGAUGUACACUAGUUGUUGCUAUGCUAGACAUAGCAGUAAUGCAGUUAACACAUUAAGUGUACCGCCUGGGGAGUACGGUCGCAAGAUUAAAACUCAAAGGAAUAGACGGGGACCCGCACAAGCGGUGGAGCAUGUGGUUUAAUUCGACGAUACGCGAAGAACCUUACCUGGGCCUUGACAUACUGAGAACUUAGUAGAGAUACUUUGGUGCUGGCUUGCCAGAACUCAGAUACAGGUGCUGCACGGCUGUCGUCAGCUCGUGUCGUGGAGAUGUUGGGUUAAGUCCCGCAACGAGCGCAACCCUCGUCGGUUAGUUGCUAACAGUUUGGGCUG
rnacentral:rRNA from 1 species